CACGUAGGCACCAAGCGUUAUCCGGAUUUAUUGGGCGUAAAGAGCUCGUAGGCGGUUUGGUAAGUCGGGUGUGAAAACUCUGGGCUCAACCCAGAGACGCCACUCGAUACUGCUAUGACUAGAGUACGGUAGGGGAGCGGGGAAUUCCUGGUGUAGCGGUGAAAUGCGCAGAUAUCAGGAGGAACACCAGCGGCGAAGGCGCCGCUCUGGGCCGUAACUGACGCUGAGGAGCGAAAGCAUGGGUAGCAAACAGG
rnacentral:rRNA from 1 species